GAUGAACGCUGGCGGCGUGCUUAACACAUGCAAGUCGAACGAGAAGUUAAGACGGAUACCUUCGGGCGGAAGGCUUUAUUUAGAGUGGCGGACGGCUGAGUAACGCGUGGGUAACCUGCCUCAUACCGGGGGUAAACGAUGGCAAACACCGGUUAAUACCGCUUAACACAACAGCACCCCUUGUAAGUUGGUUAAAACCACACUUUGAAUUGGCUGUACCGUCCUUCAAUUAGCCAGUGGGGGGGGUAACGGCCCACCAAAGGGAGGAUCGAUAGCCGAUGGGUGAGGAUGGCCGGCCACAUUGGGACUGAGAAGCGGCCCGGACUCCUACGGGAGGCAGGAGUGGGGAAUAGUGCACCAUGGGGGAAAUGCUGAUGCAGCUACGCCGCGAGAGUGAAGAAGUAUGGCGGUAUGUAAAGCGCUAUCAGCAGGGAAGAAAAUGACGGUACCUGACUAAGAAGCCCCGACUAACUACGUG
rnacentral:rRNA from 1 species